AUUGAACGCUGGCGGCAGGCCUAACACAUGCAAGUCGAGCGAGCGGCGGACGGGUGAGUAAUGUAUGGGGACUGCCCGAUAGAGGGGGAUUACUUCUGGAAACGGUAGCUAAUACCGCAUACUAUCGGAUAACCCAUAUGGGAUUAGCUAGUAGGUGAGGUAAUGGCCCACCUAGGCGACGAUCCCUAGCUGGUCUGAGAGGAUGUUCAGCCACACGGGGACUGCGACACGGCCCAGACUCCGACGGAGGCAGCAGUGGGGAAUAUUGCGCAAUGGGCGCAAGCCUGAUGCAGCCAUGCCGAGUGUAUGAAGAAGGCCCUAGGGUUGUAAAGUGCUUUCAGUCGGGAGGCGUUACCGACCGAAGAAGCACCGGCUAACUCAGUGCCAGCAGCCGCGGUAAUUC
rnacentral:rRNA from 1 species